GUCAUGCACUUAGUAGAUGUCCUGACCGACUUGACAAAACUAUAGUUUGUUAACAAGAAAUUUGUGGAGUGGUUGAAAAACAAGUAAGGUAUAAAGGGACUAUCCUCUCAGUCAUAUGUUAGGUAAUGGUCCAGCCAGGGUAUAUGAGGUCAUCUUCUGAAUGGAAUGUAGGUACCUCGUAUCUGAAAAGUCUUAAUCUGAAAAGUUUUCAUUUGAAAACAGGGUUCCUACCAAAUGUGUUCCUGACAUGGAUGUAAUGUUUUUUGUUGUCUGGCGCCCUCCACUGUAUGAAGUAGGCUAAGUAGGUUACUGUAUGUCCAAAUUCACAGAUAAGUCACUCUCAGAACCAUCUCUGGUAUGUUUCGAGAGCAUAUCCAAAUGCACAAAACUAGUAGAAAGUAUUUACUACUGUCAUCAUUCUAAUAGCAUUGUUUGGAAAGUCACUCUGCACGGGUCCCACCUGGUUCAGAUCUGUACUCACAGAGAUCAUUAAAUGUGGCCGAGCCCUAGUGUGAAUGGCCUCUUAUUUGCCAAUCAAUCUGGCAGAACCCUAUUGCUGCCCUGUACAGUAUCUAGAAAAGCCAAGCAGAGAAAGACUAUCUUCAAGAAAGAUAGUCAUGCGAAACAGGAACCCAUUUCGACUCUGUUAAAAAAUGGAACCGUGGAAAGGGAGAGGGAGGACCCACAGAACAGGUUUUUCCUUUGAUGAAGAUGGAGCCCUGCAGAACCUCAAUCUGCAUCCUGGGGACUCUGGAGAGAACCUGUGUAAUGGGGAAACGGCAGCUAAAGUAACAGUGUUGACAGAUCACCUCAAAAUCCAGAGUACCACUGCUGUUAUGAAAACAGAUGUUGUUGGGAGAGAGAACAAAGAGACAGGCCCUACAAAUGUGACAGGACACAAGCAGGAAGGAGCUCCAGACUAGGUGCUUGUCAAAUCUAGGGUCUGAGAUCACACAGGGUGAUGGGGAAGGAGUGAGUACAAAUGAAUACGUCUCACUGUAAACUGAAAGUAUUGCUGAAAUGAAUGUUUGUGUCUCAGGGCCCUUCUCAUGUGGAAGACACUGAGGUUAAUUUUGCAUCUCUGGGUCGGCAGAACUGGAGGGAAAGAUUGAGGGUACAGGGAGACCUGCAUCACGUCAUCGAAUCCGCUGUGGUCACUGCUAGACCAGCAUUCCAGGGUUUGAAGAGAAUAACUCAUUGAUUAACCACACAGUUCAUAUUUGACUAGUGUUGCACAGGUGACAUCUUCCUGGGCCAAUCCUUGCACUUCCUGAGCAGUGGGGCGGGCCUUACCAGUGUGCUUCAGACUGCCAUAUUGCAGACCCACUUCCUGUGGAAAACAUAUCCAUCAUGAUUAGAGAUUAAAUAUUACCAUCAUGCCAUCCAAACCUCAGGCGUACAUUUACAGUUAGAUAAGGUUUAGUCCUAACUGUUAUGACUCAAUCAUUUACAGAAGUACUUUUACCUUGAGACUUGAAUUCCUGUUCACACAGGUGUUGCACAAACAUGUUGUUUUACCUGAAAGAGGGAACAAUUUAGUUUUAAAGGGGCAAUCUGCAGUUCAAACAAUAAGAAAAAGGUAACCCCACCACUGCUUUGGUAAAUAGGUGAGCAAUGGGUCUGGAGAGAUGGAACCACUCUCAAAUUCAUAGGCAGAGCUACGGAUGCAAGGACUGACCAUCCAUGAGAUCAAAUUAUAGUUUUAAUUGUGUUUUGAGGACAUACAGUGUUUGUUACAAUUACAGUGUUUAUAAACAUGGGAGUUAAACAAUCUUAUAUUUGGAGUUUUGAUGGGGGUAAGACAGUUGAACUAAGCUCAUGAGGCAUUUAUAUGUGAUGUUCUUCAAGAAUCAAUGGGUACAAAUUAUUAUUAUUAAUUUGAAAGUCAACUAAUUGUAUGUAUCAACUGCAGAUUCGCAAUAGACUAACUCUGGUUUUGGAGCAUACUGUCUCUUUAAGUAAACUUGUCAAACUUCAGAUACGCUCAGAGUAUGAACUGUUUGAUUGUGUUUACAUUUACCAUUCAACCAUAACAAGAAUGGGGAUUACCAAGAUUUGUACAUUAUCUUUCUAUGUUUACAAUACACUGUCUUACUUGCUUUUCUUGUCACUGUAACAGAAAGUGAAUGUACAGUUAAAAUGACACUCCAAGGCAAGGUCUAUGUACAGAAAGUGAAUGUACAGUUAAAAUGACACUCCAAGGCAAGGUCUAUGUACAGAAAGUGAAUGUACAGUUAAAAUGACACUCCAAGGCAAGGUCUAUGUACAGAAAGUGAAUGUACAGUUAAAAUGACAUUCCAAGGCAAGGUCUAUGUACAGAAAGUGAAUGUACAGUUAAAAUGACACUCCAAGGCAAGGUCUAUGUACAGAAAGUGAAUGUACAGUUAAAAUGACACUCCAAGGCA